rnacentral:rRNA from 1 species
UAGGGAAUCUUCCGCAAUGGGCGAAAGCCUGACGGAGCAACGCCGCGUGAGUGAUGAAGGUCUUAGGAUCGUAAAACUCUGUUAUUAGGGAAGAACAAACGUGUAAGUAACUGUGCACGUCUUGACGGUACCUAAUCAGAAAGCCACGGCUAACUACGUGCCAGCAGCCGCGGUAAUACGUAGGUGGCAAGCGUUAUCCGGAAUUAUUGGGCGUAAAGCGCGCGUAGGCGGUUUUUUAAGUCUGAUGUGAAAGCCCACGGCUCAACCGUGGAGGGUCAUUGGAAACUGGAAAACUUGAGUGCAGAAGAGGAAAGUGGAAUUCCAGGUGUAGCGGUGAAAUGCGCAGAGAUAUGGAGGAACACCAGUGGCGAAGGCGACUUUCUGGUCUGUAACUGACGCUGAUGUGCGAAAGCGUGGGGAUCAAACA